UGAAUCCUUUUGGUAGAUCCAACUAGAAGAGAUCAAUUAGAUCAAUAAGCUUUUCUACUGUUGGAAUUACCACUAGAAUGCA
ensembl:miRNA aca-mir-5431 aca-mir-5431